rnacentral:rRNA from 1 species
AUUGAACGCUGGCGGCAGGCCUAACACAUGCAAGUCGAGCGGCAGCGGAAAGUAGCUUGCUACUUUGCCGGCGAGCGGCGGACGGGUGAGUCAUGUCUGGGAAACUGCCUGAUGGAGGGGGAUAACUACUGGAAACGGUCGCUAAUACCGCAUAACGUCGCAAGACCAAAGAGGGGGACCUUCUGGCCUCCUGCCAUCCGAUGUGCCCAGAUGGGAUUAGCGAGUAGGUGGGGUAAUGGCUCACCUAGGCGACGAUCCCUAGCUGGUCUGAGAGGAUGACCAGCCACACUGGAACUGAGACACGGUCCAGACUCCUACGGGAGGCAGCAGUGGGGAAUAUUGCACAAUGGGCGCAAGCCUGAUGCAGCCAUGCCGCGUGUAUGAAGAAGGCCUUCGGGUUGUAAAGUACUUUCAGCGGGGAGGAAGGUGUUGAGGUUAAUAACCUCAGCAAUUGACGUUACCCGCAGAAGAAGCACCGGCUAACUCCGUGCCAGCAGCCGCGGUAAAAC